rnacentral:lncRNA from 1 species
AAUCUUAUUAUUAUUAUUAUUACAAAUUCAACUUUCAAAUGUCGAUGUUUUCGCAGUUCAAUUUCCUAAAGUCCAUUUCUCAUUUUCUUUAACAAAUUUCCAUUUAAUCACCGGAGCUCUAAUCUUUUAAAUUUAAUUCCAAAUACUCCAAUUUUCAAAUAAACUACAAGAAUCCAGUUUUCACUCGAAUAGUUUUAAUCCCAUUUCAGUUCCUAAAUAAUCUUCUGAUCUUCUUGAUUUUACAUAAGCAAUAAUGAUUCCUUCAUAAUUCUAAAACACGGGAUUUGUGAGAUUAGCUCAUGAACAAUAAAUUAGGCUUUGUUGGGGGCCCUAUGUUUGAUCCCUUUUGACUGUCAAUUGUUGUGCUUAAUAUAUUUUGCUUGAGCUUCGUUUUGCACUCCGAUAUGCAUGGGCUAUACUUUGUAUUCAUUAAUUGUGCACUAAUCUCGUUUCUUGAUAGCGCAUUGUGGCUCGUGGCCAAGGUACACAUCCACUCCCAUUCUAGUCAAUCUCUAUUGUGUGUUUUGAUUUUCAUAUUAUGCAUGAUUUAGGUGCGUAUCCAUUGACUUUCUCGUUGAUCGUCGCGUCAGUUUCAUUUUAUUAGUAGAGACCCAUUUUAGAGACUUAGAGAGGUGUUAUGGUCUUUACCGUACCUUCCCGAUAAGUAACCUGACCCCCGAACCCGAUCCGGUUUUUCGUAGACCACAUUUUCCAAAAUAAGGAGUCACACUUAGGGUUUUUCUUUCUUAUUUUGUUUACCCUUUAAAAAUAAAACAAAAAUAAGUGUUUCAAUCAAUUAAAUCAUUUUUCAAAUAAAAAUCGAGCUCGCCAUUCGAGUGGGAAACGCAUGAGCCGAAAUGCGAGGUCCACAAUAUAUAUAUAUAGGUUUUUCGUAGACCACAUUUUCCAAAAUAAGGAGUCACACUUAGGGUUUUUCUUUUUUAUUUUAUUUACCCUUUAAAAAUAAAACAAAAAUAAGUGUUUCAAUCAAUUAAAUCAUUUUUCAAAUAAAAAUCGAGCUCACCAUUCGAGUGGGAAACGCAUGAGCCGAAAUGCGAGGUCCACAAUAUAUAUAUAUAUAUUUAUAUAUAUAUAAUAGGAAUGCAAUAUAUUUUUUAUUUUAAAAAAAUGGAUGUUGAGAUGUAAUAAAAUUUCUAUUAUAUUUUUUAUUCCUUUUAUAAAUUAAAUAUAAACAUGCAAUAAAAUAUUAUGUUGGAUUUAAUAUCUAAAAUACCAUUAUCACUUUAGAUAUAGUAUAUUAAGAUUUGAUUAUGUUAUGUCUUAUUUUAUCCAUCAAUUAAAUGCAUCCUCCAUAUUUUAUACCGAUCUUGCACAUGGAAAAGGCAAAAUGGAACUAAUUAGGCCACGUCAUAUAUGUAAUUUAAGUUUUAUCAUGUUAUACACUAGGUCUUUAACUUUGUACCUCAAAUAUGAUUUUAGUACUUUGUACCUUGACCUCAUUCUUGUUAGCAUCUUUAUUCAAAGCUCUAAAUUUUAUCAUAAACUUUGAAUGACUGCUUGGAUUUGAACUUCAAUAGAUGUCAAUUUGGUACCUUAGACCUUUUCGGAUCUUAAAAACAUAAAAGAAAAAUAAAAUUUUAAAUAAUGAAUUUGAAGAAAAAUGAUACCUUUGAUCUUAAUUUGAAGAAAAAAAGAAUGAAAUUGUGUGGACCCCGCAUUUCGGCUCAUGCGUUUCCCACUAGAUGGUGAGCUCAAUUUUCAUUUGAAAAAUGAUUUUUAUUGAUUAAAAAAAUGACUUGGAGUCGCCACUUAUUUUUGUUUUAUUUUUAAAAGGGUAAACAAAAUAAGAAAGAAAACCCUAAGCGCGACUCCUUAUUUGGAAAAGGUGAUCUACGAAAAACCGGAUCGGGCUCGGGGGUCAGGUUACUUAUUGGGAGGGUACGGUAAAGACCAUAGUACUCCUCUAAGUCCCUAAAGCCGGGUCUCUACUAAUACAAUGAAACUGACGUGGCAAUCAACGAGAAAGUCAAUGGAUACUCACCUAAAUCAUGCACAAUAUGAGAAUCAAAAACACGCAAUAGAGAUUGACUAGAAUGGGAGUGGAUGCGUACCUCGGCCACGAGCCACAAUGCGCUAUCAAGAAACGGGAUUAGUGCACAAUUAAUGAAUACAAAACAUAGCUCAUACAUAUCGGAGUGCAAAACGAAGCUCAAGCAAAAUACAGUAAGCACGAUAAUUGACAGUCAAAAGGGAUCAAACAUAGGGCUUCCAACAAAGCCUGAUUUAUUAUUCAUGAGCUAAUCUCACAAAUCACGUGUUUUAGAAUUAUGAAGGAAUCACUAUUGCUUAUGUAAAAUCAAGAAGAUCAAAAGAUUAUUUAGGAACUAAAAUGGGAUUAAAAACUAUUCGAGUGAAAACUGGAUUAUUGGAGCUUGUUUGAAAAUUGGAGUAUUUGGAAUUAAAUUUUAAAUAUUAGAGUUCCGGUGAUUAAAUUGAAAUUUGUUAAAGAAAAUGAGAAACGGACUUUAGGAAAUUGAACUGCGAGACCAUAGACUUUUGAAAGUUGAAUUUAUAAUAAUGAUAGUAAUAAGGUCUUGAGAGUUUGAAUUAAUAAUAAUAAUAAUAAUAAGAUUUCGAAAGUCUGAAUUAAUGAUAAUAAUAAUAAUAAUAAGAUUUUGAAAGUGUGAAUUAAUAAUAAUAAUAAUAAUAAGAUUUUGAGAAUCGAAUUAAUGAAAAUAAUAAUAAUAACAAUAAUAAUAAUAAGAUUUUAAAAGUUGAAUUAAUGAUAAUAAUAAUAAUAAUAUUUUGAAAGUUGGGUUAAUAAUAAUAAUAGUAGGAUUUUGAAAGUUAAAUUAAUAAUAAUGAUAAUAAUAAGAUUUUGAAAGUUGAAUUAAUAGUAAUAAUAAUAAUAAGAUUUUGAGAGUUUGGAUUAAUGAUAAUAAUAAUAAAAAGAUUUUGAAAGUGUGAAUUAAUAAUAAUAAUAAUAAUAAUGAGAUUUUGAGAGUUUAGAUUAAUGAUAAUAAUAAAUAGAUGUUGAAAGUGUGAAUUAAUAAUAAUGAUAAUAAUGAGAUUUUGAAAGUUGGGUUAAUAAUAAUGAUAGUAAUGAGAUUUUUGAAAGUUGGGUUAAUAAUAAUAAUAAUAGGACUUUGAAAGUUUGGAUUAAUGAUAAUAAUAAUAAUAAUAAAUAGAUGUUGAAAGUGUGAAUUAAUAAUAAUGAUAAUAAUGAGAUUUUGAAAGUUGGGUUAAUAAUAAUAAUAGUAAUGAGAUUUUUGAAAGUUGGGUUAGUAAUAAUAACAAUAGGAUUUUGAAAGUUUGGAUUAAUGAUAAUAAUAAUAACAAUAAAUAGAUUUUGAAAGUUGAGUUAAUAAUAAUAAUAAGAUUUUGAGAGUUUGGAUUAAUGAUGAUAAUAAUAAUAAUAAAUAGAUGUUAAAAGUGUGAAUUAAUAAUAAUGAUAAUAAUGAGAUUUUGAAAGUUUGGAUUAAUCAAUAAUAAUAAUAACAAUGAUAAUAAUAAUCAAUAAUAAUAAUAAUAAUAAUAAUAAUAAUAAUAGGCUUGGGUCUGGGCUCCAAAUUCAAACCCAAGCCCAAAGCCAAAACCAAACACAAAAUUGGGCCUAGUGCCUUAUCUCAAGCCCAAACCAAAUCUUCAUCUUCUUCCUAGCUUCUUCACAGCCCAACAGCAUCUUCUCCAUCUGGGCAACUCCUUUAGGAUAUCUCCACCAGCGUCGGGAUGGUGGAGAUGCGUGGCUUUUGAAGCCACGGCACCAGCCGGUGGACGUCUCUGCUAAUGGCGUCGUCGACCAUGCCGCGGGAGCAGUCGAAGAGGACGGCGAGCAGGCCGCCGUCGACAGCCUAGAGAGAGGCGUCCCGAACCGAAGCAGCAACGCCGAACUCCAAAGGUGGCUCCGGCGAGGUCUGUGGGGAAUGGAAGGCUUGCUUGGCUGCUGCCCGCUCCCAGCCACUGAAGAGGACUUGCGCACAUGGAGGUGUGAGUGAUGGUGAUUAUACGGGCAUAGAGAAAGAAAAGGUGGCGAGAAAUGGGAUUGGCGUGGAGAUGGGUAUGGAAAGCUGGGUGAGUGGAAUCAAACGGGUAUUAAAAUCAAGAUAUGCUUACGGGAAUCUCAUGAGGAAUCUGAAACAAUACUAAAUUUAUCUUCAAUAAGAACCAAAUAAAUAAUGAACCUGAACAUGCUAUAACCCCAUCAAACCAUUCUAAAGCUCAGCUGAGAUGCACAUAUGGCAUUGGACUUCUAUUCCCAUUCAACUAAUAGCAUCCAAUAGUCAACAAAGAUAGAGAAGAAAAACAGAUAAGUUGAAACGAAGUGGAAAAAUCCAUAAUAUUCAUACCUGAGGACAUUCUUCUUUUUCCAGAUGGGUUGGCUUCCUUACUGCUCUUUCUCCCCCAAAAGUCUCUCCUCAAAUAUCCUCCAACGACCAGCCCAGAGCUCCUCCUCCGCAGCUGAAAAAAAACUCUCUCCCUAAAACCAGGAAGACCCUUGCCCCUCUGCUGCUGCUCGCCACCUCAAAAUGACCCCCCCCCCCCCCCCCCCCCCCCUCUGCUCACUCUUCCAGAUGGCAGAAAAAGCUCUCUGCUCCUCCUGAAUCCAUCUCUCUCUAGCCGCCAGCCCAGAAAGCUCUGCCUCCCCCCGCAGCUUCAGAGCCCCCCAACCGUUUUUCUUCUCACGGUCUUUUCAUCCCUUUUCUUUUCUCUCUGUCAAGCUUCUAUUGGUUCCUCAAAAGCCCAUCUGAAUCUUCAACAGCCAAUCCGGGAGUGACACGUGGCUGCCUAAGAGCGCGACACUUGGCCAAAAACUAAUUGCAAAAAAUGAUUUAGAUAUAUCCCAAUUUGGGGGUCUACAAAUUGAAAGAGACAACAAUUAAAAUAUGAAUAAGGAAAAUAGGAAAAUGAAAUUUAUUAUAAUUUUUCAUCUUUUUUUGUUUGGUCUUUUAUUUCCUCAAUUUUUUUUUUGUAUUUAAAUAUAAGAAAAUCACAUUCCUUAAUAUUAUUUUCUUAUUUUUUUAAUAUUUUUUAAAAAUCAAACUGUGGACUCGGUAUUUUUCACGUGCGUCCCCAUUCGAUGGCGAGAUUUAUUUGGUGAAAAUUCGAUUUUUUGAAAAAGACUUGGAGUCGUCACUUAGUUUUAUUUUAUUUUUUUAAGGGAAAAACAAAAUAAGAAAUAAAAACCCUAAAUGUGACUCCUAAAUGAAAAACAGGUUUGCGAAAAACCGAAUUUGGGUUCGGGAGUCAGGUUACCUAUUGGAAAUGUAUGGUAAUGAAUUGUAACACCCCUUUAAUCCCGCAUACAUACGGUCUCUACUAAACGAAUUAAGAGAAUUGUGACAAUUAAUUAAUUAAUUAUGUAUACUAAGAAAAAUAACAUAUAAAAUUAUGGUAAAAAUCAAUAUACACAAAAAUAAUGAUGAAAUCUAAUUAAAAGAAUACACAAAAUAAAUGACAAAAGAAUUAUGCAAAAUGAUUUAUUUAAAUAAAUAAGAUAUUAAAAAAAUAUUUUUUUUCAAGAAAUUUCAAAGGAUUUUAUUAAAAACAAUUUUGAAUGAGUGAUUUCAAUUUAUUUAUUUACAAAAAAAAAGUCAAUUUAUUUUCUCAAUUUCAUUUGUAUUCAAUUUUUAGAAAAUUUAUUUACACUUAUUGUAUCAAAAGAAUUUAUUACAAAAUUUCAAUUUUGCAACAAAAAAAAUAUUUUUACUUGUUUUUUUAAAAAAAAGAACUUUUAUAAUUUUAUUUACAAAAGUAUUUGAAUUUGUUUUCAUUUAAGAAAAGUUACUUAUACAAUAUACACACACAUAUAUAUAUAUAUAUAACUUUAUUUGCAAAAGAAUUUUUAAAUAAAAAUUAAAUUUUUGGACAACUUUAUUUACAAAACAAUUUUUGGACAUUUUUUACUAAACAAAGAAUUUUUUAGACAAUGAUUAUUAAAAAACAAAUUUUUAAAUGCUAUUAAAAACAUUUUUUUGGAUUUUUCUAAAAGCAUUUUUCUGAAUUUUUAUUAAUAAUAAAAACUUUCUUUUACUUAGAAGAAUAUUUUAAAAUUAUUAUUUUAUUAAAACAUAUUUACUGAAUUAUUCUUUUUAUUUAAACAAAAUCUCUUAUUUGUUCGAAAUUCGAUUUUGUAAACACUCAAUAAAUAUUUACAAAUAAAUAUUUAUAGAAACUAGUAAAAAUAAAAUCAAAUAAAAUUGGGAAAUAAAACCUGUAUUCAAAUAAGCUUACAACAAGUUCAAUGUCUUCCUAAAACUUUUUUAUUCUCACUUUCUUCCAUGAAAUUUCAUACUCCACGCGUCAUAAAUUUGUACUCAGCCAACAAAAUUGUAGAAUAGACCCAUGCAAAAACAAAAAUAGCCCAAAUGUAAAUAUUCAAAGAUGUACAAAAUCCCAAACAAAUAUUCAAACCAAAAUUUAAAUUUCAAAUUAAUCUUAUAAAUUUCGUUAAUUAAAAUAAGUCCAAAUUACUAUAGGUUUUAGCCUAAAAUAUUCAAAUUAAUAACAAAAAAUACAAACACAAUCAACCAAACCUAAACCGAGAAGGAGAGUACCUCAACCGAGAAGGGAAGGUUACUGGAUGAGAGAAAAUGUUUUUGACACUUCUCGACCAGACCUUGAUCGGACAAGGGCAACCGAUCAACCGGUUCCCUGGUCGGUUGAGCCGGUUGGCCAAUGCCUCGACUGGUUCAGCCUUUUGGCCCCAAAAACCUAUCUUUUUCGGUUCUUUUCCUUUCCAAUACUUACGUAAGGUAUUUAGGUAAAUUAAUAUGUCAAUUUUGAAACGUUUUGCCUAAGGUACAUGUGGACCCCGUAUUUCGGCUCAUGCGUUUCCCACUCGAUGGCGAGCUCGCUUUUUAUUCGAAAAAUGAUUUUAUUGAUUAAGAAAAUGACUUGGAGUCGCCACUUAUUUUUGUUUUAUUUUUAAAAGGGUAAACAAAAUAAGAAAGAAAACCUUAAGCGUGACUCUUUAUUUUGAAAAAGGUGGUCUGUGAAAAACCAGAUCGGGCUCGGGGGUCAGGUUACUUAUCAGGAAGGUACGGUAUAAACCAUAACAUUCCUCUAAAUCCUUAAAGUUGGGUCUCUACUAAUACAAUGAAACUGACGUGGCAAUCAACGAGAAAGUCAAUGGAUACUCACCUAAAUCAUGCACAAUAUGAGAAUCAAAACACGCAAUAGAGAUUGAUUAGAAUGAGAGUGGAUGCGUACCUCGGCCACGAGCCACGAUGUGCUAUCAAGAAAUGAGAUUAGUGCACAAUUAAUGAAUACAAAACAUAGCUCAUGCAUAUCGGAGUGCAAAACGAAGUUCAAGCAAAAUACAUUAAGCACGACAAUUGACAGUCAAAAAGGGAUCAAACAUAGGGCCCCCAAUAAAACCCAAUUUAUUGUUCAUGAGCUAAUCUCACAAAUCCCGUGCUUUAGAAUUAUGAAGGAAUCAUUAUUGCUUAUGUAAAAUCAAGAAGAUCAGAAGAUUAUUUAGGAACUGAAAUGGGAUUAAAACUAUUUGAGUGAAAACUAUAUUAUUGGAGUUUAUUUGAAAAUUGGAGUAUUUGGAAUUAAAUUUAAAAUAUUAGAGCUCCGGUAAUUAAAUUGAAUUUGUUAAAGAAAAUGAGAAACGGACUUUAGGAAAUUGAACUGCGAGACCAUAGACUUUUGAAAGUUGAAUUUGUAAUAAUAAUAAUAAUAAUAAGAUGUUGAAAGUUUGAAUUAAUAAUAAUAAUAAU